rnacentral:rRNA from 1 species
UACGUAGGGUGCGAGCGUUGUCCGGAAUUAUUGGGCGUAAAGAGCUCGUAGGCGGUCUGUCGCGUCUGCUGUGAAAUCCCGAGGCUCAACCUCGGGCUUGCAGUGGGUACGGGCAGGCUAGAGUGCGGUAGGGGAGAAUGGAACUCCUGGUGUAGCGGUGGAAUGCGCAGAUAUCAGGAGGAACACCAAUAGCGAAGGCAGCUCGCUGGGACGGUACUGACGCUAAGGCGCGAAAGCGUGGGGAGCGAACAGG